CAGUCGCCACGGGAAUACAGAGGGUGCGAGCGUUAAUCGGAUUUACUGGGCGUAAAGCGUGCGUAGGUGGUGGUUUAAGUCCGUUGUGAAAGCCCUGGGCUCAACCUGGGAAUUGCAGUGGAUACUGGGUCACUAGAGUGUGGUAGAGGAUAGUGGAAUUUCCGGUGUAGCAGUGAAAUGCGUAGAGAUCGGAAGGAACAUCUGUGGCGAAGGCGACUAUCUGGGCCAACACUGACACUGAGGCACGAAAGCGUGGGGAGCAAACAGGAUUAGAUACCCCUGUAGUCCCUGUCUCUUAUAC
rnacentral:rRNA from 1 species